rnacentral:rRNA from 1 species
GACGAACGCUGGCGGCGUGCUUAACACAUGCAAGUCGAACGGAAAGGCCCCCUUGUGGGGUACUCGAGUGGCGAACGGGUGAGUAACACGUGAGUAACCUACCCUUGACUUUGGGAUAACUUCAGGAAACUGGGGCUAAUACCGGAUAGGAGCUCCUGCUGCAUGGUGGGGGUUGGAAAGUUUCGGCGGUUGGGGAUGGACUCGCGGCUUAUCAGCUUGUUGGUGGGGUAGUGGCUCACCAAGGCUUUGACGGGUAGCCGGCCUGAGAGGGUGACCGGCCACAUUGGGACUGAGAUACGGACCAGACUCCUACGGGAGGCAGCAGUGGGGAAUAUUGCACAAUGGGCGGAAGCCUGAUGCAGCAACGCCGCGUGCGGGAUGACGGCCUUCGGGUUGUAAACCGCUUUCGACUGUGACGAAGAGUGAGUGACGGUAAUGGGUAAAGAAGCAACGGCUAACUACGUG